GAUGAACGCUGGCGGCGUGCUUAACACAUGCAAGUCGAACGGAAAGGCCCAAGCUUGCUUGGGUACUCGAGUGGCGAACGGGUGAGUAACACGUGGGUGAUCUGCCCUGCACUUCGGGAUAAGCCUGGGAAACUGGGUCUAAUACCGGAUAGGACCACAUUUUGGAUGGUGUGGUGGAAAGUUUUUCGGUGUGGGAUGAGCUCGCGGCCUAUCAGCUUGUUGGUGGGGUAAUGGCCUACCAAGGCGUCGACGGGUAGCCGGCCUGAGAGGGUGUACGGCCACAUUGGGACUGAGAUACGGCCCAGACUCCUACGGGAGGCAGCAGUGGGGAAUAUUGCACAAUGGGCGCAAGCCUGAUGCAGCGACGCCGCGUGGGGGAUGACGGCCUUCGGGUUGUAAACUCCUUUCGCUAGGGACGAAGCGUUAUGUGACGGUACCUGGAGAAGAAGCAACGGCUAACUACGUG
rnacentral:rRNA from 1 species